rnacentral:rRNA from 1 species
GACAGCCCCGUACACAAAAGCGCAUGUGCUGUGAGCUCGAUGAGUAGGGCGGGACACGUGGUAUCCUGUCUGAAUAUGGGGGGACCAUCCUCCAAGGCUAAAUACUCCUGACUGACCGAUAGUGAACCAGUACCGUGAGGGAAAGGCGAAAAGAACCCCGGCGAGGGGAGUGAAAAAGAACCUGAAACCGUGUACGUACAAGCAGUGGGAGCACAGGUUUACCUGUGUGACUGCGUACCUUUUGUAUAAUGGGUCAGCGACUUAUAUUCUGUAGCAAGGUUAACCGAAUAGGGGAGCCGGAGGGAAACCGAGUCUUAAUUGGGCGUUAAGUUGCAGGGUAUAGACCCGAAACCCGGUGAUCUAGCCAUGGGCAGGUUGAAGGUUGGGUAACACUAACUGGAGGACCGAACCGACUAAUGUUGAAAAAUUAGCGGAUGACCUGUGGCUGGGGGUGAAAGGCCAAUCAAACCGGGAGAUAGCUGGUUCUCCCCGAAAGCUAUUUAGGUAGCGCCUCGUGAAUUCAUCUCCGGGGGUAGAGCACUGUUUCGGCUAGGGGGCCAUCCCGGCUUACCAACCCGAUGCAAACUGCGAAUACCGGAGAAUGUUAUCACGGGAGACACACGGCGGGUGCUAACGUCCGUCGUGAAGAGGGAAACAACCCAGACCGCCAGCUAAGGUCCCAAAGUCAUGGUUAAGUGGGAAACGAUGUGGGAAGGCCCAGACAGCCAGGAUGUUGGCUUAGAAGCAGCCAUCAUUUAAAGAAAGCGUAAUAGCUCACUGGUCGAGUCGGCCUGCGCGGAAGAUGUAACGGGGCUAAACCAUGCACCGAAGCUGCGGCAGCGACNCUUNUGNGUUGUUGGGUAGGGGAGCGUUCUGUAAGCCUGNGAAGGUGNGNCNGUGAGGNNUGCUGGAGGUAUCAGAAGUGCGAAUGCUGACAUAAGUAACGAUAAAGCGGGUGAAAAGCCCGCUCGCCGGAAGACCAAGGGUUCCUGUCCAACGUUAAUCGGGGCAGGGUGAGUCGACCCCUAAGGCGAGGCCGAAAGGCGUAGUCGAUGGGAAACGGGUUAAUAUUCCCGUACUUGGUGUUACUGCGAAGGGGGGACGGAGAAGGCUAUGUUGGCCGGGCGACGGUUGUCCCGGUUUAAGCGUGUAGGUGUGUGUUCCAGGUAAAUCCGGUUCACUUUAACACUGAGGCGUGACGACGAGGCACUACGGUGCUGAAGCAACAAAUGCCCUGCUUCCAGGAAAAGCCUCUAAGCAUCAGGUAACAUCAAAUCGUACCCCAAACCGACACAGGUGGUCAGGUAGAGAAUACCAAGGCGCUUGAGAGAACUCGGGUGAAGGAACUAGGCAAAAUGGUGCCGUAACUUCGGGAGAAGGCACGCUGACACGUAGGUGAAGUGAUUUACUCAUGGAGCUGAAGUCAGUCGAAGAUACCAGCUGGCUGCAACUGUUUAUUAAAAACACAGCACUGUGCAAACACGAAAGUGGACGUAUACGGUGUGACGCCUGCCCGGUGCCGGAAGGUUAAUUGAUGGGGUCAGCGCAAGCGAAGCUCCUGAUCGAAGCCCCGGUAAACGGCGGCCGUAACUAUAACGGUCCUAAGGUAGCGAAAUUCCUUGUCGGGUAAGUUCCGACCUGCACGAAUGGCGUAAUGAUGGCCAGGCUGUCUCCACCCGAGACUCAGUGAAAUUGAACUCGCUGUGAAGAUGCAGUGUACCCGCGGCAAGACGGAAAGACCCCGUGAACCUUUACUAUAGCUUGACACUGAACAUUGAGCCUUGAUGUGUAGGAUAGGUGGGAGGCUUUGAAGUGUGGACGCCAGUCUGCAUGGAGCCGACCUUGAAAUACCACCCUUUAAUGUUUGAUGUUCUAACGUGGACCCGUUACCCGGGUUGCGGACAGUGUCUGGUGGGUAGUUUGACUGGGGCGGUCUCCUCCUAAAGAGUAACGGAGGAGCACGAAGGUUGGCUAAUCCUGGUCGGACAUCAGGAGGUUAGUGCAAUGGCAUAAGCCAGCUUGACUGCGAGCGUGACGGCGCGAGCAGGUGCGAAAGCAGGUCAUAGUGAUCCGGUGGUUCUGAAUGGAAGGGCCAUCGCUCAACGGAUAAAAGGUACUCCGGGGAUAACAGGCUGAUACCGCCCAAGAGUUCAUAUCGACGGCGGUGUUUGGCACCUCGAUGUCGGCUCAUCACAUCCUGGGGCUGAAGUAGGUCCCAAGGGUAUGGCUGUUCGCCAUUUAAAGUGGUACGCGAGCUGGGUUUAGAACGUCGUGAGACAGUUCGGUCCCUAUCUGCCGUGGGCGCUGGAGAACUGAGGGGGGCUGCUCCUAGUACGAGAGGACCGGAGUGGACGCAUCACUGGUGUUCGGGUUGUCAUGCCAAUGGCACUGCCCGGUAGCUAAAUGCGGAAGAGAUAAGUGCUGAAAGCAUCUAAGCACGAAACUUGCCCCGAGAUGAGUUCUCCCUGAGACUUAAAGUCUCCUGAAGGAACGUUGAAGACGACGACGUUGAUAGGCCGGGUGUGUAAGCGCAGCGAUGCGUUGAGCUAACCGGUACUAAUGAACCGUGAGGCUUAACCUUACAACGCCGAAG